AGCUCCAAUAGCGUAUAUUUAAGUUGUUGCAGUUAAAAAGCUCGUAGUUGGAUUUCGGGUUGGCUUCAGCGGUCUCGCUUUGCGUUUGUACUGCUGCAGCCUGCCUUCUUGUCGGGGACGGGCCUUCGGGCUUAAUUGCUUGGGGCCCGGAGUCGACGAUGUUACUUUGAGUAAAUUAGAGUGUUCAAAGCAAGCCUACGCUCUGAAUAUAAUAGCAUGGGAUAACACGACAGGACUCUGGCCUAUCGUGUUGGUCUGUAGGACCAGAGUAAUGAUUAAGAGGGACAGUCGGGGGCAUUCGUAUUCCGUUGUCAGAGGUGAAAUUCUUGGAUUUACGGAAGACGAACAUCUGCGAAAGCAUUUGCCAAGGAUGUUUUCAUUGAUCAAGAACGAAAGUACG
rnacentral:rRNA from 1 species